rnacentral:rRNA from 1 species
AUUGAACGCUGGCGGCAUGCCUUACACAUGCAAGUCGAACGGCAGCGCGGGAGCAAUCCUGGCGGCGAGUGGCGAACGGGUGAGUAAUAUAUCGGAACGUGCCCAGUAGUGGGGGAUAGCCGGCGAAAGCCGGAUUAAUACCGCAUGAGACCUGAGGGUGAAAGCGGGGGAGUCGCAAGACCUCGCGCUAUUGGAGCGGCCGAUAUCAGAUUAGCUAGUUGGUGGGGUAAAGGCCUACCAAGGCAACGAUCUGUAGUUGGUCUGAGAGGACGGACCAGCCACACUGGGACUGAGACACGGCCCAGACUCCUACGGGAGGCAGCAGUGGGGAAUAUUGGACAAUGGGGGAAACCCGUGAUCCAGCAAUGCCGCGUGAAUGAUGAAGGCCUUAGGGUUGUAAAGUUCUUUUCACCUGUGAAGAUAAUGACGGUAGCAGGAGAAGAAGCCCCGGCAAACUCCGUGCCAGCAG